rnacentral:rRNA from 1 species
UACGGAGGGUGCAAGCGUUAUCCGGAUUCACUGGGUUUAAAGGGUGCGUAGGUGGGCAGGUAAGUCAGUGGUGAAAUCUCCGGGCUUAACUCGGAAACUGCCAUUGAUACUAUCUUUCUUGAAUACCGUGGAGGUCAACGGAAUAUGUCAUGUAGCGGUGAAAUGCUUAGAUAUGACAUAGAACACCAAUUGCGAAGGCAGCUGGCUACACGAAUAUUGACACUGAUGCACGAAAGCGUGGGGAUCAAACAGG